UAGCAUUCCGUGUAGACUCUUGGCACUGCAUGGUCGAAACCAAAACAACACCAAUUGUCGUUCACAAAUGGCGUGGGACGCCUUUUAGGGGCAAAUAGAGACCGGCGAUGCCUCGUACCCGCGAGGUAUUCAAAUGACCGUGAGAACGAACGUCGUGCCAUCCAUCCAACAACCCAAGAACAUGGAAGAAAUCGGGGUUGGAUCAUGGCAUCUGCUUCGGAGUUCACCUCGUACCACCGCUAGUAGCAGCAACUCAAGGCGAAAGGGGCGUCGUUAAUCCAACCAAUUCCCAAAAUUUGGGUAUUGAACACAAGAAACCGAGUCGGG
rnacentral:misc_RNA from 1 species